rfam:Mastigocoleus testarum BC008 Contig-17, whole genome shotgun sequence.
CUACGGACUUAGAAAACUGAGCCUUGAUAGAGAAAUCUUUCAAGUGGAAGCUCUCAAACUCAGGGAAACCUAAAUCUAAUUAACAGACAUGGCAAUCCUGAGCCAAGCCAAUUAAGAUUUACUAUCUUUAAUUUGGAAGGUGCAGAGACUCGACGGGAGCUACCCUAACGUUUAGGACGAGGGUAAAGGGAGAGUCCAAUUCUCAAAGUCUAAAGAG